GAUUCGUCACACUAUCAUUAACUGAAUCCAUAGGUUAAUGAGGCGAACCGGGGGAACUGAAACAUCUAAGUACCCCGAGGAAAAGAAAUCAACCGAGAUUCCCCCAGUAGCGGCGAGCGAACGGGGAGGAGCCCAGAGCCUGAAUCAGCAUGUGUGUUAGUGGAAGCGUCUGGAAAGGCGCGCGAUACAGGGUGACAGCCCCGUACACAAAAGCGCAUGUGCUGUGAGCUCGAUGAGUAGGGCGGGACACGUGGUAUCCUGUCUGAAUAUGGGGGGACCAUCCUCCAAGGCUAAAUACUCCUGACUGACCGAUAGUGAACCAGUACCGUGAGGGAAAGGCGAAAAGAACCCCGGCGAGGGGAGUGAAAAAGAACCUGAAACCGUGUACGUACAAGCAGUGGGAGCACAGGUUUACCUGUGUGACUGCGUACCUUUUGUAUAAUGGGUCAGCGACUUAUAUUCUGUAGCAAGGUUAACCGAAUAGGGGAGCCGGAGGGAAACCGAGUCUUAACCGGGCGUUAAGUUGCAGGGUAUAGACCCGAAACCCGGUGAUCUAGCCAUGGGCAGGUUGAAGGUUGGGUAACACUAACUGGAGGACCGAACCGACUAAUGUUGAAAAAUUAGCGGAUGACCUGUGGCUGGGGGUGAAAGGCCAAUCAAACCGGGAGAUAGCUGGUUCUCCCCGAAAGCUAUUUAGGUAGCGCCUCGUGAAUUCAUCUCCGGGGGUAGAGCACUGUUUCGGCUAGGGGGCCAUCCCGGCUUACCAACCCGAUGCAAACUGCGAAUACCGGAGAAUGUUAUCACGGGAGACACACGGCGGGUGCUAACGUCCGUCGUGAAGAGGGAAACAACCCAGACCGCCAGCUAAGGUCCCAAAGUCAUGGUUAAGUGGGAAACGAUGUGGGAAGGCCCAGACAGCCAGGAUGUUGGCUUAGAAGCAGCCAUCAUUUAAAGAAAGCGUAAUAGCUCACUGGUCGAGUCGGCCUGCGCGGAAGAUGUAACGGGGCUAAACCAUGCACCGAAGCUGCGGCAGCGACGCUGAUGCGUUGUUGGGUAGGGGAGCGUUCUGUAAGCCUGUGAAGGUGGCCUGUGAGGGUUGCUGGAGGUAUCAGAAGUGCGAAUGCUGACAUAAGUAACGAUAAAGCGGGUGAAAAGCCCGCUCGCCGGAAGACCAAGGGUUCCUGUCCAACGUUAAUCGGGGCAGGGUGAGUCGACCCCUAAGGCGAGGCCGAAAGGCGUAGUCGAUGGGAAACGGGUUAAUAUUCCCGUACUUGGUGUUACUGCGAAGGGGGGACGGAGAAGGCUAUGUUGGCCGGGCGACGGUUGUCCCGGUUUAAGCGUGUAGGUGUGUGUUCCAGGUAAAUCCGGUUCACUUUAACACUGAGGCGUGAUGACGAGGCACUACGGUGCUGAAGCAACAAAUGCCCUGCUUCCAGGAAAAGCCUCUAAGCAUCAGGUAACAUCAAAUCGUACCCCAAACCGACACAGGUGGUCAGGUAGAGAAUACCAAGGCGCUUGAGAGAACUCGGGUGAAGGAACUAGGCAAAAUGGUGCCGUAACUUCGGGAGAAGGCACGCUGACAC
rnacentral:rRNA from 1 species